CAGCCGCCGCGGUAAUACCGGCGGCCCGAGUGGCGGUCACUAUUAUUGGGCUUAAAACGUCCGUAGCCGGGUUGGGAAGUCCUCCGGGAAAUCUGGCCGCUUAACGGUCAGAAUGCCGGAGGAUACUCCCAGCCUAGGGAGCGGGAGAGGCCGAGGGUAUUCCCGGAGUAGGGGGGAAAUCCUAUAAUCCCGGGAGGACCACCUGUGGCGAAGGCGCUCGGCUGGAACGCGGCCGACGGUGAGGGACGAAGGCCAGGGGAGCAAACCGGAUUAGAUACCCGGGUAGUCCUGGCUGUAAACGAUGCGGACUUUGUGUCGGACAAGCUAUGAGCUUGUCCGGUGCCGGAGGGAAACCGUUAAGUCCGCCGCCUGGGGAGUACGGCCGCAAGGCUGAAACUUAAAGGAAUUGGCGGG
rnacentral:rRNA from 1 species